AACGUAGGGGGCGAGCGUUAUCCGGAUUUACUGGGCGUAAAGCGCAUGUAGGCGGUGGGAUAAGUCAGCCGUGAAAGCUCCCGGCUUAACUGGGAGAGGUCGGUUGAAACUAUCCGACUGGAGGUUGGAAGAGGAGAGUGGAAUUCCCGGUGUAGUGGUGGAAUGCGUAGAGAUCGGGAGGAACACCAGUGGCGAAAGCGGCUCUCUGGACCAAACCUGACGCUGAGAUGCGAAAGCGUGGGGAGCAAACGGG
rnacentral:rRNA from 1 species